rnacentral:misc_RNA from 1 species
UGCUAACAAGGUAACUGUAUUCAAGGGGGUAGGGGGAGGAUAUUGUUCUAAUUAUUUGAUGGGUAGGGAAGUUUAACACAAGGGAUCUAUCACCCAAAAGUGCUAGCUGGAGAUGCUUUGGGCUCAUUGGCCUCAAAAAUAUACCAAGGAUCUUAUCUAUGCACUGCUGAUGUGGGAUGUGGAUCAGGAUGUAAAACCCUGGUUUGGGGUUGGGGGUGGGGAGGGCAUGUCUGGGGUUGUCAAACCAUAAACUUAUAGCGUUGAAG